rnacentral:rRNA from 1 species
CCCUUAGAUGUUCUGGGCCGCACGCGCGCUACACUGACUGGUGCAACAAGUGUCGCUCCUUGGCCGAUAGGCCUGGGCAAUCUUUGAACGCCAGUCGUGAUGGGGAUAGAUUCUUGCAAUUUUUGAUCUUCAACGAGGAAUUCCUAGUAAACGUGAGUCAUCAACUCGCAUUGAUUACGUCCCUGCCCUUUGUACACACCGCCCGUCGCACCUACCGAUUGAAUGGUCCGGUGAAAUCUCGGGACGGCGGCUUGGUCGCUUGCGUCCGACUGCUGAAACUUGAUUAAACCAUAUCAUUUAGAGGAAGGUGAAGUCGUAACA